rnacentral:rRNA from 1 species
UACGGGGGGGGCAAGCGUUGUUCGGAAUUACUGGGCAUAAAGGGCUCGUAGGCGGCCAACUAAGUCAUACGUGAAAUCCCUCGGCUUAACCGGGGAACUGCGUCUGAUACUGGAUGGCUUGAGAUUGGGAGAGGGAUGCGGAAUUCCAGGUGUAGCGGUGAAAUGCGUAGAUAUCUGGAGGAACACCGGUGGCGAAGGCGGCAUCCUGGACCAACACUGACGCUGAGGAGCGAAAGCCAGGGGAGCAAACGGG